CUGGUAUCGUCACUGCUGUGGCUCGGUUCGAUCCCUGGCCUGGGAACUUCUACAUGCCACAGGUACAUCCAAAAAUAAAUAAAAAUAAAUCUCCUCCUGUCUUCCACCAAGUGAAAUGUGAGUUUGGAAAGGGAAAAAUUCUCAACAGUGCAUCUCAGGUUCAGAGAAAUCAUGACAGCUCUGCCAGCUCAAGGCUCAAAGUCUUGAGUACCCAGCCCUUCAGUUUUAGGUAGGGCAUAGGUGUCAACCAGCAGGCUGAGUUGAUAACAAUCACUUUGUGACCCAACCACCCUCCCACACCCCCACCAAAUCAGCUAGAUAGAAUCUGGCAGGGCUGAUAUAUUGCUACCUUAGACAGGUGGAAGCAAGGGGGAAAUGCAGGCCAAAAGACAGCAAAAAAAGAAGCUUGCAAAAACGAAAGCAAAAAAACCUGAGACUGAACCCUAAUGCAUCUGGUGCAGGCUCUUGCAAAUUCCCAGCUGCAUGAGGACCAAAUUAGUUAAUAAGAAAUGAAUACAAAAAUGCCUGAGCUCAGUGGAGCUGUCCUGAGUUUCAUUUCCUGAGAAGGAGCUUCUAACAGUGAUCCAGGUAAUUUCAGGUUGCAGCUCGGCAGCACUCACCUCCUCCCUCUAGGAAUGUGACCUGUGAUGAGGAGACUUCUACUGCAUGGUCUCUUCCAACAUGCUCCUUUUUCCCUGGGGAUCCAGGAAAUUCUGGCCACCUGCAGUGUGCAAAGGCAGCUGGCCAGGCAAGGAAGCUGGCGCCAGGUCCCAGGGCCCCUCCCUGGAGGGAGCAAAGGCCUCUCGGGUUGCAGCUGCAGAAAGAGGGAGGAGAGAAGAGGGACAGGAUGGAGUGGAGAGCCUUGGAGGCAGUGGUUUGGACAUCAACUCGGUCCUGAGGUUGUCAAGUUUAAUCCUCAACUCCUGAAAGUUCCCAGAAGCAGCCAUUUUUUUUUUUUUUUUUUUUUUUGCAUUGUUCUGUUCCGGGAGCUACGAACUCAAGUGUCUACAGAACAUGUCAGAUAGCAUAAACAAGAGAAGUGGCCAAGGCUAAUAAAGAUCAUUCAGCUCUCUUGGUCUGGCUUUUGCUUUCUCACUUUUGACAGAGACAUGAAAGCAGAGGAAUAGUUCUUACUAUAAAAAUGCACACACAGUACAGUCAGUGAUGGGGGCAAGUGACACUCAUCCUUGGUUGGGGAGCAGUAGACUGUGGGUGGUGACUGUGGCACACCUCCUACCAGCCAGUUUGCUGUUUUGCAGAAAUCUGGCCCAGUGUGGCCAGAAAUUACCAUUUUUAAAGAGAAGCUGGAAAUCCAGAUUUGUAUGUGGUGUCUCCCAAUUUUUUAAGUUUGACAAUUAUUUUACAAAAUUGAAGUCUGGUUGAUUUACAAUGGUAUGUUAGUUUCAGGCGUGUGGCAAAGUGAUUCCAUUAUAUAUCUGUUCUUUUUCAGAUUCUUUUUCAUUAUAGGUUAUUACAGGAUAUUGAAUACAGGUCCCUGUGUUAUACAGUUUAUCUAUUUUUAUGUAGAGUAGUAUUUAUCUGCUAAUCCUAGAUUCCUAAUUUAUCCCUCCCCUCCCUUUUCCCUUUGGUAACCAUAAGUUUGCUUUCGAUGUCUAUGAGUGUAUCAUAGUUUUAGAUUCCACAUAUAUGUGAUAUCAUAUGCUUUUUGUCUUUUACUGUCUUGCUUCACUUAGUAUGAUAAUCUCUAGGUCCAUCCACGUUGCUGCAAAUGACAUUAUUGCAUUCCUUUGAUGGCUGAGUAAUAUUCCAUUAUAUAUGUAUGUAUACCACAUCUUUAUCCAUUUCUCUGUCACUGGGCAUUUAGGUUGCUUCCAUGUCUUGACUGUUGUAAAUCAUGCUGCAACAAACAUUGGGGCAUAUGUAUUUUUUUAAAUUAGUGUUUUCUCCAUAUAUACGCCCAGGAGUGGGAUUGCUGGAUCAUGUGGUAACUCUAGUUUUAGUUUUCGAAGGAGCCUCCAUCCUAUUCUCUGUAGUGGCCACACCAAUUUACAUUCCCAUCAACAGUGUAGGAGGGGUCCCUUAGUUCCACACUUUCUCCAACAUUAUUUACUCUUUGAUGAUGGCCG
rnacentral:lncRNA from 1 species